UCAUCCUUAGAUUUCGUCACUCGCGGAAUGUAAAAUAUCUAUGGAAGGGUAUUUAUGGGUAACAUAAAUGCGUUAUUACUGGAGACAGAAUGAAUAAAACUAACAUGAUUCUACAAAAUGCCACAUGUUGAUGCCAAGCAAGCAGAAUUUCUUCCGAAGCUAGCCAAGAUAAAUUCACAGUCCGUAAUGCCCCUUCCCCUUUCCUUUUGGUAACCAAAACACACACCGCAUAACAAAGAAUACUACAAGAAAACGAGGAGAGAGAGAAAAGUGAAUGGUUGUCUUUUUUACAACUAAUAUACAUUUCUACUUUAGUUGUUCAGUACUUCUCUAUUUCUUGUGCUUCCACGCACUUUCUCUAUCUUCAAACGCGUUCAAUCGUCGUCUUUGUCAUUAAUUCCCAUAUUGUUUCCACGGCAGCUUUUUCUAACAGUCGAUGGAACUAUGAAAGAUGGGGUGGAUUUGAUUCCAAUAUCAAGCCACAAUGCAAAGCCUCCAGGUGUUGAAUUGUGGGCAGUUCUUGAUGUCCCUGUACAUUAGGUUGGCGCUUCUUGGAAAAAUUUAAGCCAUUCACUAUCAGGUCUCUUUUGUGCUUCAAUCAACUUCAUGGAGUCUUCUACCACUUAUUCUACUCCUGAAUUGGCAUUUCAAUCAGCUUUGGGCAGUUUAAGAUAUGGUACACUGCCAUGUGAAAU